GAUGAACGCUGGCGGCGUGCCUAAUACAUGCAAGUCGAGCGAACAGACGAGGAGCUUGCUCCUCUGACGUUAGCGGCGGACGGGUGAGUAACACGUGGAUAACCUACCUAUAAGACUGGGAUAACUUCGGGAAACCGGAGCUAAUACCGGAUAAUAUAUUGAACCGCAUGGUUCAAUAGUGAAAGACGGUUUUGCUGUCACUUAUAGAUGGAUCCGCGCCGCAUUAGCUAGUUGGUAAGGUAACGGCUUACCAAGGCAACGAUGCGUAGCCGACCUGAGAGGAGGAUCGGCCACACUGGAACUGAGACACGGUCCAGACUCCUACGGGAGGCAGCAGUAGGGAAUCUUCCGCAAUGGGCGAAAGACUGACGGAGCAACGCCGCGUGAGUGAUGAAGGUCUUCGGAUCGUAAAACUCUGUUAUUAGGGAAGAACAAAUGUGUAAGUAACUAUGCACGUCUUGACGGUACCUAAUCAGAAAGCCACGGCUAACUACGUG
rnacentral:rRNA from 1 species